rnacentral:rRNA from 1 species
GACGAACGCUGGCGGCGCGCCUAACACAUGCAAGUCGAACGGAGUUUGUUUUUUAGAUCCCUUCGGGGUGACGAAGUUCAAACUUAGUGGCGGACGGGUGAGUAACACGUGAGUAAUCUGCCUUUGUGAGGGGGACAACAUCUGGAAACGGAUGCUAAUACCGCAUAACGUGUUUGAUCGCAUGAUCGAAACACCAAAGAUUUAUCGCACAAAGAUGAGCUCGCGGCUGAUUAGAUAGUUGGCGGGGUAACGGCCCACCAAGUCGACGAUCAGUAGCCGGACUGAGAGGUUGAUCGGCCACAUUGGGACUGAGACACGGCCCAG